rnacentral:rRNA from 1 species
GGGAUUGCCUGUCACGCAGGCAGAUUCAUUUUCUGCCACCGAAUACAUUAGCAUGGGAUAAUGGAAUAGGACCCUGUCCUCCUUUUUUCAGUUGGUUAAUUCAUGAGAGAGGAACAGGGUAAUGAUUAAUAGGGAUAGUUGGGGGCAUUAAUAUUUAAUUGUCAGAGGUGAAAUUCUUGGAUUUAUGAAAGAUUAACUUCUGCGAAAGCAUCUGCCAAGGAUGUUUUCAUUAAUCAAGAACGAAAGUUAGGGGAUCGAAGACGAUCAGAUACCGUCGUAGUCUUAACCAUAAACGAUGCCGACCAGCGAUUAGGAGACGUUGAAUACAAAACACCUCUAUAUAUAAUUCAGUAUAUGAUCAGUCAAAUGGUUGUAUAUUGUUUGUAUAUAGUUACGGUGAAUGACUCCCCUAGCAGCUUGUGAGAACA